AGCUUUCCAUACUGAAAACCAUUAAAAUUUGUGAUAAAAAUUUCAUGUAUGAGACUCAAUUCAAUUGAUGGACAUUAGUUAAAAAAAACUUUUGAAGACCUACUUCAUUAGAAAGGCCCACAAUCAUAGAGUGAAACACUGAGAAAAUUAUAUUUUUGUGUUAUUUUAGUAAACAUCUUCCUCUGGCAAGGAUCAAUGCCAGUGACUUUUCCAGCUUCUCUACUAGGACAAAACCUGUUUUGGUUUGGUUUUUUGGACGGGGAAGAGGGUGAGAGGAGAAUAAUGAUCUCUGAAGUUACAAAAACAGGGGAGGACUUGGUGGUUACUGACGUUUGGGGAGAUGACAACUUCCUAUUGUAUACAGAAAAGUCUGCUUUGUAUAUUGAGAUUUUAAAUUACCAUAGGACAAUAAGAACGUUUACAUACCUGAAUUGGGAAUAUUUUGACAGCAACAUACUCAUUUAGCAACUGAGCUUUCCAUACACAACCAAAUCUUCCCCUAGCUUUGAUCUCUAACAACUGCAGAGGCUUCAGACCCAUCAAGGGUGAAGGUGGUGGUGGGCCAGGGUCCUGAAAACAGAUAGAAGUGUAUAAUUGAAAUCUAGAUAUUCUGUGUGAGAUCUAGGAUGACAGUAUUAGGAACAUAAAGACAAUUAUAUUGAAAAACAUUUGGUGUCAAAUUCUGCCAAAAACAAAACAAUCUUUAACCCUUCUUUACAGGAAGGAAACAGGACUCCAUCAGACACACUGAGAAUUAAGACACAAAUAGAAACCUAACAUAUUUCUAAUAUUUAGUCUUCUGAGAUAUGAAGGCAGAAAGGCACUAAAGAGACUGAAAAUCAAGCUUUAAUUAUGAUAGAAUUCCAAGUAUUUUUACAAUAGCAGAGCAGAGAACAGUGUGUGUGUGUGUGUGUGUGUGUGUAAAAUGCAAACUAGACCAAAUGUAUUUCUGUCACUAACUAGAAGAUGACUGAAGAUUCAAC